CCACACCCUGGCCUCCCCAAAACCUAGCCAUGAUCCGCUCACGGCGCCGCCCCUACCCCCUGCGUGGUCGUCCCUUCGAUAGCCGCCGCUUGAUCCGGUAGAGUGCUUAGCAAGAUGGGAUCUAGCGGAGCGCCUCGGUCCGGAUGGAGGAUGGAACCCUUGCUCCGAUCGCCGCGGCCGUAGCCGUCAUGACCCGACGGAACGCCGGCUCCAGAAGGUGAGUAUCCGCCUCCUUCCGCUAAUCAUGUGUGCCUCACGGCCGUUCACGAGCAGCGCCUCCAUUUCCGGCGACCAGCAGCGGCCGGUGACGUGGCUCAGGCUGGCAUCUCCCACUAGUCGCCUCUUAUUGCUAGGAUCCACGGAUUCGUGCUCAGAACCACAUUGGAUAGGAGCAUACUGGGCGCGGAGGAGCAAUCGCUCGGUUGAGGUUCAGGCUACAGGACUUAUGUGCAUCCCAUCCAAUUCCUUUUGUUGGCGGCUCAUUGUAUGGAGUUAUUUUUUCCUGUUUGGAUUGGUUUCACGCUAAUGGGACUAAGGCUAGACAUGUAUGAUGGCGCUAGAUGUAGAUGCAGCAGCGCUGCUGGUGGCAGCGACACGAGAUGUCGCAGCAAGCAGAUGCAAGCGGGUGCGCAUUAGCUGCAACAACCACCAGCAGGACGGUCUGGUCCCAUAUAUCAACAAGACUUGCUAUUUGGAUAUCGGCUAUGGAUAUGAUAGGCGAAAUAUCAGAAAGAACAUAUAUAAGAAGCUAGAACAUUAUAUAUUUUGUUGCAAGAUUGUAAAUUGUCCAUUUUUCAGAUAAUUUUUUGUGUAUGGAAUAGUGUUCCAGAAGGAAUAAAUAUAUGAUUAGGUUGAAUGCCAUAUUUUGAUGCAAGAUUGUAAAUUGCGUAUGGAAUGGUGUUCCAGUAAUAAAUACUGAAUUUAUUUAA